rnacentral:rRNA from 1 species
AGUGAACGCUGGCGGCAGGCCUAACACAUGCAAGUCGAACGGCAGCACAGUAUGCGCUCUCUCUUACGGGUGGCGAGUGGCGGACGGGUGAGGAAUACAUCGGAAUCUACUUUUUCGUGGGGGACAACGUAGGGAAACAUACGCUAAUCCCGCAUACGACCUACGGGUGAAAGCAGGGGAUCUUCGGACCUUGCGCGAUUCAAUGAGCCGAUGUCGGAUUAGCUAGUUGGCGGGGUAAAGGCCCACCAAGGCGACGAUCCGUAGCUGGUCUGAGAGGAUGAUCAGCCACACUGGAACUGAGACACGGUCCAGACUCCUACGGGAGGCAGCAGUGGGGAAUAUUGGACAAUGGGCGCAAGCCUGAUCCAGCCAUGCCGCGUGGGUGAAGAAGGCCUUCGGGUUGUAAAGCCCUUUUGUUGGGAAAGAAAAGCAGCGGGUUAAUACCCCGCGGUGCUGACGGUACCCAAAGAAUAAGCACCGGCUAACUACGUG